UACGUAGGGUGCGAGCGUUGUUCGGAAUUACUGGGCGUAAAGGGCUCGUAGGUGGCCAAUUAAGUCAGGCGUGAAAUCCCCAGGCUCAACUUGGGAACUGCGUCUGAUACUGGUUGGCUUGAAUUCGGGAGAGGGAUGCAGAAUUCCAGGUGUAGCGGUGAAAUGCGUAGAUAUCUGGAGGAAUACCGGUGGCGAAGGCGGCAUCCUGGACCGAGAUUGACACUGAUGAGCGAAAGCCAGGGGAGCAAACGGG
rnacentral:rRNA from 1 species